rnacentral:rRNA from 1 species
CGUGUAGGCGGUUUGAUAAGUCUGAUGUGAAAGCCCCGGGCUCAACCUGGGAAGUGCAUUGGAAACUGUCAGACUUGAAUACGGGAGAGGGCAGUGGAAUUCCUGGUGUAGGAGUGAAAUCCGUAGAUAUCAGGAGGAACACCGGUGGCGAAGGCGGCUGCCUGGACCGAUAUUGACGCUGAGACGCGAAAGCGUGGGUAGCAAACAGGAUUAGAUACCCUGGUAGUCCACGCCGUAAACGAUGAGUACUAGGUGUUGCGGGUAUUGACCCCUGCAGUGCCGCAGCUAACGCAUUAAGUACUCCGCCUGGGAAGUACGGUCGCAAGACUAAA